rnacentral:rRNA from 1 species
GAACGCUGGCGGCAGGCCUAACACAUGCAAGUCGAGCGGUAACAGAAAGAAAGCUUGCUUUCUUUGCUGACGAGCGGCGGACGGGUGAGUAAUGCCUGGGAAUAUGCCUUAGUGUGGGGGAUAACUAUUGGAAACGAUAGCUAAUACCGCAUAACGUCUUCGGACCAAAGAGGGGGACCUUCGGGCCUCUCGCGCUAAGAUUAGCCCAGGUGGGAUUAGCUAGUUGGUGAGGUAAAGGCUCACCAAGGCAACGAUCCCUAGCUGGUCUGAGAGGAUGAUCAGCCACACUGGAACUGAGACACGGUCCAGACUCCUACGGGAGGCAGCAGUGGGGAAUAUUGCACAAUGGGGGAAACCCUGAUGCAGCCAUGCCGCGUGUAUGAAGAAGGCCUUCGGGUUGUAAAGUACUUUCAGUCGUGAGGAAGGGUGUGUAGUUAAUACGACUCCGCGAGUGCCUUGACGUUAGCGACAGAAGAAGCACCGGCUAACUCCGUG